rnacentral:rRNA from 1 species
AUUGAACGCUGGCGGCAUGCUUUACACAUGCAAGUCGAACGGCAGCGCGGGCUUCGGCCUGGCGGCGAGUGGCGAACGGGUGAGUAAUACAUCGGAACGUGCCCAGUAGUGGGGGAUAGCUCGGCGAAAGCCGGAUUAAUACCGCAUACGACCUGCGGGUGAAAGCGGGGGAUCUUCGGACCUCGCGCUCUUGGAGCGGCCGAUGGCAGAUUAGCUAGUUGGUGGGGUAAAGGCCUACCAAGGCGACGAUCUGUAGCUGGUCUGAGAGGACGACCAGCCACACGGGGAGUGAGACACGGCCCAGACUCCUACGGGAGGCAGCAGUGGGGAAUGUUGGACAAUGGGCGAAAGCCUGAUCCAGCAAUGCCGCGUGUGUGGUGAAGGCCUUCGGGUUGUAAAGCACUUUUGGCGGGAACGAAAAGGACUGUGCCAAUACCACGGUUGGAUGACGGUACCCGCAGAAUAAGCACCGGCUAACUACGUG